rnacentral:rRNA from 1 species
AAUGAACGCUGGCGGCAUGCCUUACACAUGCAAGUCGAACGGCAGCAUGACCUCGCUUGCUAGGUUGAUGGCGAGUGGCGAACGGGUGAGUAAUGCAUCGGAACGUGCCUUUUAGUGGGGGAUAACGUAGCGAAAGUUACGCUAAUACCGCAUAUCCUCUGAGGAGGAAAGCAGGGGACCUUCGGGCCUUGCGCUAGAAGAGCGGCCGAUGUCGGAUUAGCUAGUUGGUGAGGUAAAGGCUCACCAAGGCAACGAUCCGUAGCGGGUCUGAGAGGAUGAUCCGCCACACUGGGACUGAGACACGGCCCAGACUCCUACGGGAGGCAGCAGUGGGGAAUUUUGGACAAUGGGCGCAAGCCUGAUCCAGCCAUGCCGCGUGAGUGAAGAAGGCCUUCGGGUUGUAAAGCUCUUUCGGCUGGGAAGAAAUCGCACCCUCUAAUACAGGGUGUGGAUGACGGUACCAGCAUAAGAAGCACCGGCUAACUACGUG